rnacentral:rRNA from 1 species
AUUGAACGCUGGCGGCAGGCCUAACACAUGCAAGUCGAGCGAGCGGCGGACGGGUGAGUAAUGUAUGGGGCCUGUCCGUUAGAUGGGGAUCACUCCUGGAAACGCUAGCUAAUACCGCACACUAUAUGAUACCCCAUAUGGGAUUAGCUAGUAGGUGGGGUAAUGGCUCACCUAGGCGACGAUCCCUAGCUGGUCUGAGAGGAUGAUCAGCCAAACUGGGACGGAGAAACGGCCCAGACUACUACGGAGGCAGCAGUGGGGAAUAUUGCAAAAUGGGCGAAAGCCUGAUGCAGCCAUGCCGCGUGGAUGAAGAAGGCCCUAGGGUUGUAAAGUACUGUCAGUCGGGAGGCGUUACCGACAGAAGAAGCACCGGCUAACUCCGUGCCAGCAGCCGCGGUAAUAC